rnacentral:rRNA from 1 species
AUUGAACGCUGGCGGCAGGCCUAACACAUGCAAGUCGAGCGAGAGGCGGACGGGUGAGUAAUGUCUGGGAAACUGCCGGAUGGAGGGGGAUAAAUACUGGAAACGGUAGCUAAGACCGCAUACAAUCAGAUGUGCACAGGUGUGAUUAGCUUGUGGGGUGGGUAAUGGCUCACCUAGACGACGAUCCCUAGCUGGUCUGAGAGGAUGACCAGCUACACUGGAACUGAGGCCCGGUCCCGCCUCCUACGGGAGGCAGCAGUGGGGAAUAUUGCACAAUGGGCGCAAGCCUGAUGCAGCCAUCCCGCUUGUGUGAAGAGGGCCUUCGGGUUGUAAAGCACUUUCAGCGAGGAUGCGUUACCCGCAGAAGAAGCACCGGCUAACUCCGUGCCAGCAGCCGCGGUAAUAC